UACGAAGGGGGCUAGCGUUGUUCGGAAUUACUGGGCGUAAAGGGCGCGUAGGCGGUGUGUCAAGUCAGGCGUGAAAGCCCCGGGCUCAACCUGGGAACCGCGCUUGAGACUGGCACGCUAGAGUUCGGGAGAGGAUGGUGGAAUUCCCAGUGUAGAGGUGAAAUGCGCAGAUAUCGGGAAGAACACCCGUGGCGAAGGCGGCUCUCUGGGACGGUACUGACGCGUGAGACGCGAAAGCGUGGGGAGCGAACAGG
rnacentral:rRNA from 1 species